rnacentral:rRNA from 1 species
UACGGAGGGUGCAAGCGUUGUUCGGAUUUACUGGGCGUAAAGCGCGCGCAGGUGGGUGUGCAAGUCGGAAGUGAAAUCCUGGGGCUCAACCCUGGGGCUGCUCCCGAAACUGCUCGCCUAGGGACUGGUAGAGGCUGGUAGAAUUCCCGGUGUAGCGGUGGAAUGCGUAGAGAUCGGGAAGAAUACCCGUGGCGAAGGCGGCCAGCUGGGCCAGGUCCGACACUGAGGCGCGAAAGCGUGGGGAGCAAACAGG